CCUACGGGAGGCAGCAGUGGGGAAUAUUGCACAAUGGGGGAAACCCUGAUGCAGCAACGCCGCGUGAGUGAAGAAGUAUUUCGGUAUGUAAAGCUCUAUCAGCAGGGAAGAAGAUGAAGGUACCUGAAUAAGAAGCACCGGCUAACUACGUGCCAGCAGCCGCGGUAAGACGUAGGGGGCACGCGUUAUACGGAUUUACUGGGUGUAAAGGGAGCGCAGGCGGCAGUGCAAGUCUGGAGGGAAAGCCCGGGCCCCAAACCCGGAACUGCUCUGGAAACUGUGCGGCUAGAGUACUGGAGGGGCAGGCGGAAUUCGUGGUGUAGCGGUGAAAUGCGUAGAUAUUAGGAGGAACACCAGUGGCGAAGGCGGCCUGCUGGACAGUAACUGACGUUGAGGCUCGAAAGCGUGGGGAGCGAACAGGAUUAGAUACCCUUGUAGUC
rnacentral:rRNA from 1 species